AUUCUGAACUACUGUGGGAAGGGCAAAGUGCGCGUUUCCUGGUAACCAAGAACGAGGCCCUUUGGGCCCCACCCCAUGACUUGGUGGGCAAGGACUGCAAGGAGGGAUUCUGCAAGCUGAGUUUGGCCCAGAGCGCAAGGUCUUCGCCUUCCAGAAUCUGGGUAUCCAGUGUGUGAGGAGGAGAGAGGUAAAGGACUCCAUCGUGCAGAGGAUGACCAGAGGGAUCAACCCAUUCAAUGUGCCUCGGGAGCAGCUGUUACAGACCGAGGAGUACGACCUGAACGUGGUGCGUCUCUGUCUGCAGGUGUUCCUACAGGACGACAGCGGACACUACAACCGCGCGCUCAACCCCAUUGUCACAAACCCCAUCUACGAUAACAGGGCUCCGAACACGGCUGAGCUGCGUAUCUGUCGGGUCAACAGGAACAGUGGCUGUGUGAAGGGAGGAGACGAGAUCUUUCUGCUGUGUGAUAAAGUCCAGAAAGAUGACAUUGAGGUGCGUUUCUUCACUCCUGGCUGGGAGGCUAAGGGCUCCUUCUCCCAGGCUGACGUUCACCGCCAGGUGGCCAUCGUCUUUAAGAGCCCGCCUUACUACGACACGUCCAUCACCGGCCCGGUCACUGUGCACAUGCAGUUACGCCGUCCCACCGACCAGGAAGUCAGCGAGCCCAUGGAGUUCAGAUAUCUACCCGACGACAAGGAUCCCUAUGGUUGCCAGGAGAAGAAGAGGAGAAGAGAGCACCUGAUGAAAGCCUUACCCGGGUUGCUACCUUUAGGUGGAAUGAAUCCCAUGAACAGACCAAAGGCAGUACCACACAGUCCCAUGGCCCAGUCCAUGAGGAAAGACAUCAACAACAUGUACAUGAAACAGCCCUCUCCCGCUAUGAUGCGUCAAACCCCUCCUACCAUGUACAACCACGCCAACCAACAUUACCAACAACAUAGCCCUCAGCAGCGCACAAUGAUGACAUCCAUCAACCAGAUGUGGCCCCAACCCAACCCGACUUUGUCCCUGGAGACCAUCAGAAUUAACCCCUCGAGCACCGGUAGUAACCAGGGUAACGGUAUGCAGCAACAGCAGGUGAACCACUGUGUUACCUCUGGGUACCUUCAUGGAGGGGAGAGCAGUGGUAGUAACCAGGGUAACGGUGGUGGUAACAUCCUGCCCCAACUCACCAUGGGGGACCUGCAAUGUCUGGGUCUGGAGCCCAAUCUCCAGGGUCCUUCGGCCAGUCAUGCCCUGCCCGGUGGGCCUGAUCUCCAGCUCCACCACCAGCAGCCUCACCCCCAGCACCCUCACCAGCGGCAGCACUUCCACCACCAACAGCAUAGACAGCAGCAGCUCCACCAGAGGAAAGGGCCAUCCUUUACCCAGGGCAUGGGGAGCCAGGAAGGGCAGAUCCAGGGGAGUCAGACCCAGACCCUGGGCCUCCAGGCACCCUGGAGCAACGGUGGCGAAGUGGGGUCCCUGGGGUUGGGCUUCCUCCUGGAUAGCGUGGAGAGUGAUGAGAUCAUCCAGGGCCUGGUGGGAGGAGGGGGCCCUCAGGCCACCUUCCAACUGAAGCAGGAGCCCCUAACUGGGGGACAGGAGGGCCAGAUGACCGCCUCUUGUUCCUUCUCCGCCUCGGACGGCCAGCAGCAGCAGUCGUACGCCAACCUCCUUCCCCGGCCUAUGAGUAACAGCAACGGCAUCACCAUGGAGACAGCAAGGCAUGAAAGCACCAAUAGCAACUCCAACAACAUCCAGGCCCUCAAGAACUUACAGAACCCCUUUACCCCAGCCAAUGGAAUGGGGCAAGAAGGUACCCAUUUUGACUCCUUGGCUGCCUGGGCCUUUUUCACUCCACCGCAGUGACUUGGCACAUUCUCAGCCCGUGGGAAAUGCUUCUGGACGUCUCCGUGAGCAAAUGCUUAGUCAUCUUGUCUGUGCAAGAAUGUGGUCAGAACAUGUGAACAGACAUAGAGAUAUUUUCAGGGCAAAGGUAACUCAACUGGCUAUAUGAAUAUGAUAUGAAUGUACUUUUUUUUUUUAUA